CCAGAGCAGCCAAACUACUUCACUUGUGCCUUCAGAAAAGACAAACUUGACAAGUACGUUUUCUUUGUUAACCAUCAGGAUUAUGGUUAACAAAUGGUUAUGGUUAGCCGUGAUGAUUUCUUCAAAAGUGCUCAGCGAAGCAGAAUUGCAUUGGAUGCUUAAUUGGCAAUGGAUCUUACGCUGCAGCUUAUCCCUUACACGAGGAAUUAAAGGGACAUGAAAAAGCCAAACAAAGCUAUAUAGGUCAUGGUUCAUUUUUUGUAAGUGCACUCCAUCUGGUUGAAUGAUCCCAUGCAAGGGACUGGCCAGAGGAAAAGGUAACAUACUGCAUCAGUUUUCUCAGAGUGAUUUGGAGUCUAAUAAUGAUAUUUUCCUUGAAUCAACAAUUAUGUCAGGUUGCUUGAACAGGAUUCAGCCAAAUGUUGGCAAAGUUAGCCAACUGUGUUUUCUUGUCAUUUAUUUCAGAAAGUACAGUAAGGCAUUCUCGUGAGAUCAAAAUUUUAGAAUGAAAAUUUAAUACAAAGAAGGAAUAACAUCAAACAACUACAUGUCCAUAUGUUUAGUCAAGUGAGAGUUGGACAAUGGAUGUCUUGAUCCAGGGAACAUUAAGCUUGUUGUACAUGGGGAGCUAUUCAGACUGAUACAUGUACAUUGUACAUGUAUAUAAUAGUAAUAGGACUAAGAGGAGUCCAAUUCAGGCUGUAAUUAUCCAAGUGAUUAACAAAAUCGGAUGAUUGCACUGUGAAGGCAUCCGUUGUACCUUUUCAUCUAAAAAAAAACAACAGUUAAAGGGGCAAAAUG